GACGAACGCUGGCGGCGUGCCUAAUACAUGCAAGUAGGACGCAGUUGCGAACGGGUGAGUAACGCGUAGGUAACUACCUAUUAGAGGGGGAUAACUAUUGGAAACGAUAGCUAAUACCGCAUACUAGUAGAUGGACCUGCGUUGUAUUAGCUAGUAGGUAGGGUAAUGGGCUAACUAGGCAAAGAUACACAGCCGAGCUGGGAAGGUGGUCGGGCACAAUGGGAAUGGUGCAAGGGCCAGAACCCUACGGGAGGGAGCAGGAGGGAAUCAUCGGCAAUGGGGGGAAACCUGACCAAGCAACGCCGCGGGAGUGAAGAAGGUUUUCGGAUCGUAAAGCUCUGUUGUUAAGGAAGCGGUACUUAACCAGAAAGGGACGGCUAACUACGUGCCAGCAGCCGCGGUAAUAC
rnacentral:rRNA from 1 species